CUCUUGAGAGUGUUAAAGUCCUGAUGUUACAUAUUUUUGUAACUAGCAGGGCAUAUUAACCACUGUGUGAAGCCUGAGCUACCCAAACAGCCUUCACAGCCACAUGGACUAUAAGCAAGGAGUCAGUUUGUAGAAGCUUGGCGUUAUGGACAAGGCAAUUCUGAAUUUCUUCUGCAAAAAUGAAGUGGCAUACUAUGACAAAUCUAUCACCUGCUCCAGGAAUACUUGCAUUGCUAACUGAAAAGCUGGAAUUUCUCUUGCAGAGACAAGAUCACUCCUGUAGUUCUUUACUAAAGAAAUUUCCAGUAUGGUAUGAACUCUUUGUUCUAGACUAGAACAGUCUGCAUCAUCUGUCUCUUGUCUCCUCUGUCAUGUUCACUCCAUCAAAUCAAGGGAUUAGGAGUCGUCUUAAUACUUUUGUUUCCUGUCCAUACUGCUCCUACAAGGAGACUGAUCUACAGGAGAUGCCAUUAGAUUCUGGUGACUUACAGUGGCCAAAGACAUGCUUUCCUAGCAUGACGCACAGCAGAGCUGGUGAUGAAGAGGCUUCCUGCACACAUGUAUCUGGAAUCAUCAAGGUCAAGGGCUUGUUGUCACUUCUCGGACUGAUCUGGAUGGCCAAGAGGUAAUGGCCUUAAGUUGUGCCAGGGGAGAUUCAGGUUGGAUAUUAGGAAAAAGUUCUUUGAAAGAGUGGUGAAGCAUUGGAACAGGCUGCCUAGGGAUGUGGUGGAGUCACUGUCUCUGAAGGUGUUCAAGACAAGGGCAGCUGUGGCAGUGAGGGACAUGGUUUAGUGGGCAUGGUGGUGGUGGGUUGAUGUUUGGGCUAGACAACCUUCAUGGUCUUUUCCAACCUUAAUGAUUCUAUAAUUCCAUAGACGCCUAUGAAUUGUCAUGGUUAAGUCACAUGAUUCCCUCAGCCAUACUGCAACAUCCAUCAUUGUGCUGUGAUAUAAGGUGAAGAAAUGGAAGGUUCAACCCAACAGACCAGUGCUUACAGAUGGGCCCCUGCACUUCUGGUUUCUCUAAUUCAGGUGUGAACAUUGGAGUCCUCUGUGCUGCACCAGGCAGAAUGUGCAUGUGUAGGGUUGUGACACCCUGGUGGGACAUUUCUUUCACAUGUCAGCAUGAUUGACAGCCAACUGCCAUCCCCAUAUCACAUUCAUGUAACAAUGGCCUGGAUUUCACCUGAGCAACAGAGGAAUCUGUUGGAGAGAUUUGAGCCAGGUGGGUAAGAAGCUGAU
rnacentral:lncRNA from 1 species